rnacentral:rRNA from 1 species
GUGGGGAAUAUUGGACAAUGGGGGGAACCCUGAUCCAGCCAUGCCGCGUGUGUGAAGAAGGCCUUUUGGUUGUAAAGCACUUUAAGCGAGGAGGAGGCUACCGAGAUUAAUACUCUUGGAUAGUGGACGUUACUCGCAGAAUAAGCACCGGCUAACUCUGUGCCAGCAGCCGCGGUAAUACAGAGGGUGCAAGCGUUAAUCGGAUUUACUGGGCGUAAAGCGCGCGUAGGUGGCCAAUUAAGUCAAAUGUAAAAUCCCCGAGCUUAACUUGGGAAUUGCAUUCGAUACUGGUUGGCUAGAGUAUGGGAGAGGAUGGUAGAAUUCCAGGUGUAGCGGUGAAAUGCGUAGAGAUCUGGAGGAAUACCGAUGGCGAAGGCAGCCAUCUGGCCUAAUACUGACACUGAGGUGCGAAAGCAUGGGGAGCAAACAGGAUUAGAUACCCGGGUAGUCC